AGUCGAGGGGCAGCGGGGAGGCAGCGAUGCCUCCGCCGGCGACCGGCGCACUGGUGAGUAACACGUAUGAAACCUGCCCGGAGCAGGGGGAUAAGCGGAAGAAAUUCCGUCUAAUACCGCGUAAUGAGGCGGGGAGGCAUCUCCCCGCUUCCAAAGAUUUAUCGGCUCCGGAUGGUCAUGCGGCGCAUUAGCUGGUUGGCGGGGUAACGGCCCACCAAGGCGACGAUGCGUAGGGGUUCUGAGAGGAAGGCCCCCCACACUGGUACUGAGACACGGACCAGACUCCUACGGGAGGCAGCAGUGAGGAAUAUUGGUCAAUGGCCGGGAGGCUGAACCAGCCAAGUCGCGUGAGGGAUGACGGCCCUACGGGUUGUAAACCUCUUUUGCCGGGGAGCAAGAACCGCCUCGCGCAGGCGGACUGAGAGUACCCGGAGAAAAAGCAUCGGCUAACUCCGUGCCAGCAGCCGCGGUAAUACGGAGGAUGCGAGCGUUAUCCGGAUUCAUUGGGUUUAAAGGGUGCGCAGGCGGGCGGUCAAGUCAGCGGUAAAAUCGUGGGGCCCAACCCCAUCCCGCCGUUGAAACUGGCCGUCUUGAGUGGGCGAGAAGUAUGCGGAAUGCGUGGUGUAGCGGUGAAAUGCAUAGAUAUCACGCAGAACUCCGAUUGCGAAGGCAGCAUACCGGCGCCCGACUGACGCUCAUGCACGAAAGCGUGGGUAUCGAACAGGAUUAGAUACCCUGGUAGUCCACGCAGUAAACGAUGAAUACUAAUUGUCCGGGGCGAAUGAGCCCUGGGUGAU
rnacentral:rRNA from 1 species